GAUGAACGCUGACAGAAUGCUUAACACAUGCAAGUCUACUUGAAUUUGGGUUUUUUUACUUAGAUUUGGGUGGCGGACGGGUGAGUAACGCGUAAAGAACUUGCCUCACAGUUAGGGACAACAUUUGGAAACGAAUGCUAAUACCUGAUAUUAUGAAUAUAUGGCAUCAUAUAAUUAUGAAAGCUAUAAGCGCUGUGAGAGAGCUUUGCGUCCCAUUAGCUAGUUGGAGAGGUAACGGCUCACCAAGGCGAUGAUGGGUAGCCGGCCUGAGAGGGUGAACGGCCACAAGGGGACUGAGACACGGCCCUUACUCCUACGGGAGGCAGCAGUGGGGAAUAUUGGACAAUGGACCAAGAGUCUGAUCCAGCAAUUCUGUGUGCACGAUGACGUUUUUCGGAAUGUAAAGUGCUUUCAGUUGGGAAGAAAAAAAUGACGGUACCAACAGAAGAAGUGACGGCUAAAUACGUG
rnacentral:rRNA from 1 species